rnacentral:lncRNA from 1 species
AUGGGGGUUUUUUUUGGGGGGGGGGGGUCAGACAACGGAGGCUGCAGCCAUAUGUGUUUACCAAACCCUGAAGGACUGACUUGUAAGUGUCCCAGUGGGCACUCCUUGGCUAAUCUAAGCAAAUGUGUGGAAGCCGCCCCGUGCUCUGAGCCGUCCCAGGCCUGUAAGGAUGGUCAGAAGUGCGUCUCCGUGGAGCAAGUUUGUGAUGGUCAUGCUGACUGUCUGGAUGGAUCUGAUGAGCUGAGCUGUACCUAUCCAGAUAAAACCCAUUCAACACCAACAUCUAAAAAUGCAGAGGCUGGAAAAAGGUUGACUCCAAAAGCUGCCCGGCCUCCUCUCCAAGCUACCAAGUCCACCAAGGCUAGAUACCCGGGUCCAGAAGGGAUGAGUUAUCCUCUCAGAAAAACAUUAAUUCCUCCAAUUCCUGCUAGAGAAAGCAAGACUUCAGAAGCCAAGGAAAAAGGCGAGCUCGUUCAGCGCAAGGACUCACAGGGGGCAGCACAUCUGCCCUGCAGCACGGAUUUCUGCAAUGGGAGAGGGAUCUGUACAGUGGUGGGCGAGCUGAGGAAGUGCCGCUGUCUGAUGGAAUAUGGCGGACAGUUCUGUGAGGAGCCAGCGCGUGGACCUGCCCCUGGCUACAUCGUCCUCAGCUUCACAGUUGUCCUGCCAGUGGUGCUAGUCGCUCUGGGAGCGUUUGUCUAUUUCAGAAGAGAACACAAAUUUAAAAGAAAUCGUGCAGCAACAUCAAGAAAUUCGACCCGCCAUAAAGAAAACGGCCAAGAAGAGGAGAACCUAAUGAAUAGUGAGACCUUUGUCAACGAAGCCUGUGAUGAGCAGGAACUGCUAACUUUACAAAGUGACUAACUUGAUAAAAAAGGAGCUGAAACAUCUCAAUGAAAAUUGUUUAUACAUUGCAUUGUGUACUGUUUUAACGUCUGUAACUUAUUGUAACUAUAUGCUAAAAUGGUGAUUUAUUAAAAUAACUGCUUUUUAAAUUG